rnacentral:lncRNA from 1 species
GUUUGGGGUGUCUGAUUUGGGGUGGUGAAUGUCUGGGGGUGUUUGGGGGUGUCUGGGGGUGUUCGGGGGGUGCCCCCAGGCCUGUCCCAGUCCCGAGUGGCCGCUCGGGGGGGCGGAGCCUCCCGGAGCCCCCGCCCAGCCCCCGGUGCGGGGCCAAAAGCGGCGGGAGCGGAGCGGGAGACGCCGCCGGGAGCGGAGCCGAGCAGCCGGUGAGUGCCGAACCGAACCGAGCUGAACCGAACUGAACCGAGCCGAGCCGAACUGAACCGAGCCGAGCCGAGCAGCCGGUGAGUGCCGAAGAGAACCGAACUGAACCGAGCGGAGCCGAGCGGAGCCGAGCAGCCGGUGAGUGCCGAACCGAACCGAGCUGAGCCGAACUGAACCGAGCCGAGCCGAACUGAACCGAACCGAGCCGAGCAGCCGGUGAGUACCGAAGAGAACCGAAGCGAACCGAACCGGAGCAGGGCACGCCGCCUCCUCGGAACCCCCGGGAGCGGGAUGGAGCCGGGGCCCCCGGACUGUCCCGGCCGGGAAUUGUGCCCUUGUCCGCCGGCUCCGUGUCCCGGGUCAGGCUGGCCGCGGCUCGGGACAGCUGGGGACAGUCCGUGCCCACGGCAGGGGUGGCACUGGGUGGCUCUGAGGUCCCUUCCUGCCCCAACCCCUCUGGAUUCCAUGGGGCCAGCUCCGAGGGGCUGCGGGAGGGCUGAGCCCCCCAGGAGCCCGGCUCUGCCCGACCCCAGCCGGGACAGCCCCGGGAGGCUCCUGCCUGCCAUUGGGGACCCCAACACCCCCGUGUUCCCCCAGCCAUGGCUGAGGAGCUCGGGGAGCUGCUCAGGGAGUUCGAGGAGGUGAUGGAGCACUUUGAGCGGGGCCCCGCCUGUCAGUACCAGCAGCACCUGCAGGAGCUGAAGAGGAAAGCGGGACAGAGCGUGUAUGACAGUGGGAUCGAUGAGCUGGAGACAAAGCUUGGAGACACGCAGGAGCUGGAGGAGUUCAUUGCAGACCUGGAUAAAGCCUUGCAGGGUAAGUGCCCAGCCUCUCUCUCCUCCUCCAGAUGUUUCCCUCCUGGUGAGAGCCCGGGGGUGUUCCUGGGAGAGGGGGUGAUGCUGUGCUGGGCACCUCUGGCAUCUGCACCCAGCAGCUCUGGAGAGUUUGGCUCCUCUCCGAUGGCUGCUUUGCAGGGGAAACUGAGGCAGAAGCCACUUCCUCUCACAGGGGCCCUGUGUGACGGGCUGGAGGCAGAGAGAACCUGGUUAAAAAUAGCAUUAUUACCCCACACAGACUGCGUAAGACACAGCUCUGGUCUCUGUUCCCAUCCCUGGUGUCCAAAACGAGGUGCCUGGUGGGAAGUGUUCCUUCACAGGAUCUGUGGACUGGGAGGGAGGGAGGGAGGGGAGCAGAGCUGCCCCCUGCCCCAGGUGUCUGCUCUGACCCUGCAGCCUGUCACCAUCCUGUGUGUCAUCCUGCAGAGAUGUGAGCUGUGGUGUGGAGAGGAGCAGCCCCAGCCCCGAGUGUCCCCGGUGCCACCUCUGCUUCUGCAGCCCUGGCUGGGGACAAGGACGGGCAGCGGGACGUGGGACGAUGGCACAGCCCUGCCAGCGCCAGGAGGGGACAGCUCUGCGCGGGCUCCGGGGACUUUGGGGUGACCUGGGCCACUGCUGAAGCCCCCAGAGUGAUUCUGGGGAAGAUGAUCUUGCAGGACAUCGCUGUGGCCUCGGUGUCCCCCCCAGGCCGGGAGGGCCCAUCCUUGGUGGCAUCUGCCACUGCUGAGCUCUGCUUUGCAUGGGGAGCCCCAAGUCGGGCUCCUCUCUGCCCCCCAAGUGCCUCUGCCCCAGCUGCUGCUGUAAAUACUGUAAAAAUGAUGUUUUGUGCUGUACAGAGGGGAUGUGGUUCUGGAAACAAGAUUUUAAACCUCUGCCUGUGUCUGUCUUUGUCCCUCUGGCAGGGGUGGGAGCAGGGAUGCCUGGGCUGCCAGCUGGUGGGAUGGGAAAGGGGGAGACCUCAGGGAAGCGAGUUCAGCAUGCCUGGCUAAAGGGGAACGUG